rnacentral:rRNA from 1 species
GUCUCUUAGAAACUAUUAAGAGUCAGGCCUGCCCAGUGAUUGCUUUUUUAACGGCCGCGGUACCCUGACCGUGCAAAGGUAGCAUAAUCAUUUGCCUUUUAAUUGAAGGCUGGUAUGAACGGUUUGACGAGAGUAAAGCUGUCUCACACACAUUAAAUAGAAACUAAUUUAAAGGUGCAAAAGCCUUUAUAAAACAAAAAGACGAGAAGACCCUGUUGAGCUUUAAUUUUAAUGAGCACCAACUUUAUAUUAAUAUAAUUAUCUGCUCAAUAAAAAUUUUAAUUGGGGCGAUUAAGGAACACAAUAAAGCUUCCUGAUUUUAACAUUAAAUAUCUAUAAAUUAAAUCGAUCCAGCAAUGCUGAUCAACAAAACGAGUUACCACAGGGAUAACAGCAUAAUUCUUUUUCAGAGCUCAUAUCGAAAAAAGAGAUUGUGACCUCGAUGUUGGACUAGGGUAACAAGAAGGUGGAGCAGCUUUCUUGCUUGGUCUGUUCGACCAGUAAUUCCCU